CGGGCAGCGCCUCUGGAGGCCCCACAGCUGGAACUUUCCUGGCAGGGGCUGCACUUUGGCUCUCCCUCGGCCUCCCUGGCCAGGCUGGCAGGGGCUGCAGUUCAGAAAAGAGGUGAAAGAACGAUUCCCCAGGUGAUCUUGAUGCUGAAUGUCUCCCUAGGAGAUCUGGGCAUGGAGAGGAACAAGCCCCUUGCAGGCUGACCCAUUUUGGACAACCUGCUCCUCACCCCAGCCUCACCAUGUCUGACAUGGCCCACCUGGGACUGACAUCCCAAAACAUAAAAAAGUAUGCAUUUUAAAAAUAAAUAAGAUUGAUUAAUUUAUAAAAUUAUAAUUAUAGGUUUUUUAAUUUAUAUUAGUAUUACUGUAUAUUUCUAUUACCUUUGAUAUUUAUGUGAAAAAUUGAAUACAUUUUUAGCAGUCAAAAAAUUAUUUGUCAUUGGUUUUAAAUAAAACAAUUCCUUUCAUUAAAUCAUUGACCACUACUGGCCAUUUAUUUCUCCUUCUUAAUGCUAAUUAGUGCUAUUUUUAGAUCUUUUGACAUAUUUUUUUAUUAUUUUCAUGGACAGGGUAAAAGGGGCCACUUUGGGGUCCCUGGAGACAUUUCUGGGGCACAUUUGGGGCAGUUUUGGGUCUGGGCAGUAUGAUAAACAAGUCCACUGAAUUUAAGGAUCAAAUAAUUAUCUUUAUUAUUUUGCAAGCAAGAAUAAGCAAGGACAGCACUGGGCGGCCCGGAGUCUCCGCUCCACUUUGGCUCACAAAAUCCUAUCCCCUGAGUCCACCCUUUAUUGCCUUCUUCUCCGGGUUUAGGGAUGACGUGAUCUGUCUUCUGCACUUGCUCGUUCAGUUGCUAGGGGGUCUUUUUCUGCCUUCUGGUGGUCGUGGGAUGAAGGCUUAGUCCCCCUUAGUCUUCCUCUUUGUGAAUGCUGAGUGAACUUAUGCCUUAUAAGGCAUAUCUAUACAGAACACUAUACACUUUCUGCAAGCUCAGCAAUUCUAGCGAGUUUAAGGAUUGCUAUUACAGCUGCUUCUCAUUACUUUCCUUUCACAAGGCAUAACUUUACAAUGGAAUUCCCAAAGCACUAUAGUAAACCAGCAACCAUAUGUAUCUGCACGAGAAGUUUUUUGGCUAUUUAACUAUUGUUUUAUAUUGUAUAGUUAUUUAGCUAUUGAUUUAAUUAAUGAACAAACGUAUUACUACUUAUUACAAAUCCCCAUUUCUUUUUUUACCAAUUUUGUUCAUUAAAUCUUUCUAGUUCUUUCUUAGCAAGCAUUAAAUGAGCUGCCUCAUCAGUUAAGCUAUGUGCACUAAUUAUAGGUGCUAACUUCCUUAGUUUCUUCAUCAUAUUCCAAUUCAUAAUGAAUGGAACUGCUGACAAAAUAAAACCAAGCACAGUCAAUAUCAACAGAACAACAAUGG